GUGAGUCCUUCCAGGGAAUCUCUGAACAUGGGGGUGGUCUUGGGGACCCCUGACACAAUGAGUGUGUCUGUGAGUGUGUGUGUGUGUGUGUGUGUGUGUGUAAUUUCUUGCUUUUCAUUUCUGGAAGGUAGUUAUAAUACUUUCAUAAGGAACAAUAAAUAUGCUUUAAAAUUUUGUCGAAUGAAUCACAGCCAUGACGUUAUUUCAGGAGUAAGAUCAUGCUCUUUGCGCAGUAUCGGCAGCGACAAUUUCUGGCAGCUGCUCAGCUGUGUGGCUUCCUUCCUGCUCCCAGCCCCCAGGGCCCCAACAUCCCUCCCGAUGACGAGAUUGUCAGAACUCACCCCCACCUCUCCUCAGCCGCUGGUGGCAGGCAGGAAACGGCUGGGGUGUCCCGGAGGAAGGCCUCGCCCCCGGGAGGGAACCGAAUGUGCGUGCAAUGAAGAGCCAGAACUGCCAGAUACAAAGAUGAGAUUUUCAGCUGCCGAAGAAGGUGCUUCCAGAAACAGCACCAAGGCCCUCAGCUGCUAAUGGGGCAUUCCUCGCAGGAAUGCUGGGGCCACUGGCCAUUCUGUUCCGGAAAGGUCACUGCUUUCAUCACACUCUCUGUCCCGAUGGCCCUCCUGGUUACACUCAUGAAUGAGGGAGCCGGAACGGAGUGAUUUCAGCAGAGUUCUGGCCUGUCUGCUCAGAGGACGUGUUUGUCAGGAGUUUCCAGACUGGCCCUGGAGGGGAACUCAGAAUUUGUCCGCAGGACGAUGCUGCCUCCCCCUGUGGAAGUCGUGGAUGGACGAGCAAACGGAUAAGAGCGGGAGCAGCAGGGGGCAGUGGUGAAGUUCAGCGACUCCAGAAUCAAAUGCCGAGUGAAAAUCCCAGCUCAGACAUUCUUGUGUGAUUUCCAGCAAGUCAGUUAACCCCCAGCGCCUCGGUUUCCUCAAGUGUAAGCUUGGAUGAUGCCUGAACCUGCCUCACAGAACUGUGGAGAUGAUUAAGUGAAUCAACGCCGGGAGGGGCUCAGAACAGCGCCUGGCACAGAGCAAGCGCAACUUGUGUGCUUGGCAUUUUCAAAUAACAACAAACCAUAUUUGCUCAAGGAACAGACUUUGGUUGGAAAGUUCUUUUAAUCGGUUCCUGGGUGGCCAACAAGCAGUCCGCUCUGCUUAGAACUAGGAGACCCCAGCUCCAGCCUCGGCCCUG
rnacentral:lncRNA from 1 species